CCACGGUGGUAGCUGGGGACAGCAGCCUCAUGGUGGUGGUAGCUGG
rfam:Otolemur garnettii contig053821, whole genome shotgun sequence.